ACUUCACCUGCCGUCCGUGUGAGGAAAAAGAAAAUAAAACAAAAAGAAGAGGACAAAAGACGGCAAAAGACGACAAAAGACGACAAAAGACGACAAAAGACUGAGCUGCAGGUUCAUGUUAUGAGCAAAUACCAACGAGUUUAGUGUCUGUUAUGAGUUCAACGCUGGAACAACAAAGAAGUAAGAAGUGAUCUGGCUGUGCCAGACUGCAGCGUCAUGUCACAGAGAAAAAGAUUCAACACAUUUGGAAGCCAGCUGUUCAAGACACUUCACUGGUCUGUUCACACAAUUCUACUGAGGAAGCAACAGUUCAGUGACGUCUCACCCUAGUGACAUCAAAAUCUGUUUUUAAACUGUUGUAUGCAUGCAAUUAAAGUUGUGUUCUGUCCUACAAUGUAAUCUGUUGGGUCAAAAAGUCACAUCUAAUGUAUAGUAAUGUUUCAACUUGUUCAGCUGCUUUUGAUAACCAUCAGGCAUCGACUGGUUGUUCUGCUUUGAUUACUUAAAUUGGCAGGAUUAAGUUCAAUAAAAUUUGUA